GGGCGCUGCCCGCCCGCCCGCAUGGAGACCGCCGCCCGUAGCGGGGCUGCCGCGCCGCGCCGCACCGCGGGGGUUAGGAAUGUUUUGGAACAGGAGGUCAGAAGAAGGGCAAUACAAAGUAAAGGAGCUUCAUGUAGACCGCUUAAAGAAGUUCACCGUGAUGGAAAAGAAGGGGGUAUCCCAUGUAACAAGAGAUCCGAUCAACAGUCAUCUGACAGAGGACCGAAGGGAUCUCUUCUGUUCUAAAAAUAGCUAAGAAGUCAUACUGUUCACGUGGGAAGAGCAGGCUGCCCUUCACCCGCCCCCUUCAGCACCAUCAGAACUGGGUAGCUAAGUGAAUCACAAAAGCCUUUACUGUUUUCCUCCCAAGUACCUGUACCACCCCUCCUUGGCCGAGCGUGACAGCCCAGGUGUGGCCAGGAUCAAUAACUCCGGCUCUCGGAGGUUUCCCUCCGUCUGCUUGGAGACUGGAAAUAGGCGUUUGUUUUCUUUUUCACAAACGUUAGUCCCACAGCUAAAUCCCAGGAUCUUCCAGGACCUCAAGGAUGGGUUGGCCAUCGCUGUAUCCUGCCACAGGUAACAGUGCUCCCUCCAGCCAGGACUGCCCCAGCUGCGGUCCCCAGCACUGGACUUAGCCAGCCCCUUUCUGAGGGAGGCAGGAGAAGCAGGUGCCUCCUGUGCAGCCUGCCAAAACGGGGCUGGCUCUGCAGGGCUAAAAACGGGUGCUGGUUUUCAGUCAGCAACGGCAAGCGUGAAUUCACUCACAAAGUUUCUCUCUUAUUUGAGAGAUGCUGUGCUGUUAGGAUACCGCUCAGAAUAACAUUCGAUCAGAAUCUCGCCCUCAAAUGUCAAUACAUUAGGCUGGAGCUACAAGAGCGCGGGUAACCACUCGUACCGCAAACGUACAAUAGAAGUUAAUUCUCUGUCGAGCGCUGCGAGUGACAUAGUCUGUAACAUUUCCUUAAGUCAGUGACCAUGACCUUGGGAUGCAUACCAGUUAAAAAUAAGGUUUUACAAAUGCUUGGAAAUGCUAAGUGUUUCCCAUUACGUGGUUCAUUCAAAGCACUUAACGACUUUUCAAGUCCAUGUCAGUAGUUAUAUGAGACCAAAAAAUCCUCAUGGAGUCAUCUGGGAAAACGCAGAAGAAAAAAGCACAUCUGUCUUGUUUUAGCUUCCAACCUUGGAUCUGGAUUUUCUAAUUCUUCUUUUUCUGGGAAGGAAGGGGAAAAAAAGAAAGAAGAGUUUCUGCAGAAGCAUACAUCUCCUUCAGAACAGAAGCGUGUGCCCACUUGUGCAUACGCCUUUUUAUCAGUGUCCAGGUAUAAAAAUGACAAGAGGUGUUGUUAUAGGUACCGUGAAGUGGGUCUGAAACAAAACAUAGAAAGGCUAACAUUGCAGUGAAGUGUUCAGAAUUAGUUUCCUCGUUUACGCUGGGGUAAGUCUACUUCACCGUAUUUUCAGCUGACAAGUAUUUCUUCAUGUUUUAACUUCUAAUGGUGAUUUUGGAUGGGAACGCUUUUGGAUGCGAAAAAACUGUUCUUGCCAGAAAAGCUGUUUUUUGUCCUACUUCCAUCAUGCUCGUUCUAUUUCUCCUGACUGGUCUUACUAGUGUCAACCCUGUUGUUUGAAAUCAAGAUUACCUCACUGUACCUGGA